rnacentral:rRNA from 1 species
AUGGUUCUUCGGAACCAGAGACCGGCGCACGGGUGCGUAACGCGUAUGCAAUCUGCCUUUUACAGAGGGAUAGCCCAGAGAAAUUUGGAUUAAUACCUCAUAGUAUAGUACAGCCGCAUGGCUGAACUAUUAAAGUCACAACGGUAAAAGAUGAGCAUGCGUCCCAUUAGCUAGUUGGUAAGGUAACGGCUUACCAAGGCGACGAUGGGUAGGGGUCCUGAGAGGGAGAUCCCCCACACUGGUACUGAGACACGGACCAGACUCCUACGGGAGGCAGCAGUGAGGAAUAUUGGACAAUGGGCGCAAGCCUGAUCCAGCCAUGCCGCGUGCAGGAUGACGGUCCUAUGGAUUGUAAACUGCUUUUAUACGAGAAGAAACACUGAUUCGUGAAUCAGCUUGACGGUAUCGUAAGAAUAAGGAUCGGCUAACUCCGUGCCAGCAGCCGCGGUAAUACGGAGGAUCCAAGCGUUAUCCGGAAUCAUUGGGUUUAAAGGGUCCGUAGGCGGUUUAGUAAGUCAGUGGUGAAAGCCCAUCGCUCAACGGUGGAACGGCCAUUGAUACUGCUGAACUUGAAUUAUUAGGAAGUAACUAGAAUAUGUAGUGUAGCGGUGAAAUGCUUAGAGAUUACAUGGAACACCAAUUGCGAAGGCAGGUUACUACUAAUGGA